ensembl:lncRNA
CGCGGCCGGCCGGGCACAGCUGCGCCUCGUCGGGAGCCCCGGGCGGGGCCCGCCCCAAAGCCUCUUAAGCUCCUCCGGAGGCUGCCGGGAGCCACGGGGGAGUUCUUGCGGUUCUCCCCGAGAGACGGAGGGGGCUCCGGUUCCUUUGACCGCUCUUAGCGCUGCUGGAGCUGGGAAGCGGCUGCUGUGAGACCUCUCGCGGUAAGGAUCCGCCCAAACCGGUGUGAGCCGUUUUGGUAGUAACGGGACCGUGCAGGCGGCGAGGGCUCGGGAGCCGCGAGGAUCUCUUCGGCUGGAGCGGGAGGCUGCCGGGCUCCCGGACCCCGCUCUUCCCGGGGCCGGCGUAGGGCUGCCGCCGGGCUUCCCCGGCUGUUUGCUGUCGAUACAGCGUCGCCGCCCGGCUCCCAUCGCGUUUUCGGAGGGAGCUGCCGCUCAGGUCCUUAAGUCCUACCGCAGCCCCGGGGUGCUCUGAGCCUCCCUCUUCCUAGGGUUGUUUGUAGCGGGUGCUUCGGUUCUUCAGGCUCUCAUCGGCUGAGCGAGUGUUCCGGCAGAGCCUCUCCUCGCUCCAAAGCGGUGAGCUCGUGGAAGCGGUGAGCGUUGGGGAGUCAGCUGGUAAGAUCUCUCUUCUCGGGGUUUAUGUAGGGCUGUUGCUCGGCUACCUCUGCACCUUCGGGAUCGGCACGGCGCCGCUUCUGGGCUCCCGCGUGGCCUUUUAGAGAAGAGCCGGCACGAGGCCGCUGCCCGACGGCUCGAGACCGAGCGCGGCCCCGGGGCGGCCUCAGCCCCCGAGGAGGGUUCUACUGGUGCUCCAGCCCCCCCGUUUCCAGCGGUGGGAGCGAGCAGGAUGGGAACACUUGUUUUCUUUUUUUCUCCCCCUUCCUUCACGUGGGACUUCAGGAGCACGGUUUUGUGCCUACCGUGGAGACCUGGUGGGGCAGCUUGCAUGACCGGAAUGCUGUUGUGGAUGGCUUUGUUCCUUUUAGGAAAGACAGACCGGCCAGGUGGUGGAGUCUCUCUUCCAGUGAGAGAAUGGAAAUGUAUCGAGCUCUGCCUCGGGGUGAAUGAAGAACUAGCGGAGCGCUUGCAUGUGAGGCUCAAGAGGCAGGUAAAUGUGGGUGACAUCACUGUGGGUGGUAUCUCUACUGGCAGGAGACCUGCAGGGUUGAAUGAGGAACUCAAGAUGAACUUGAAGGGGAAAAGGAAGACUUGGGCUAAGGAAGACGAUGACCCUCUCAGUAUCACCUUUGGGAAGGGAGGUCAAGGCUAAUAGAAGUUGGUCAAUGGGAGAAAGGAGACUAGAGCGGGCCUCUGCUUUACAAGGUGGAGGCCCUGGUAAUAGAGUAUGUGCUGAAUGUAUUUUUGGUUUCAGUGGUCGCUGCUGAGUCUGCUCCUUGGGAUCCCUGGAUUCUGGAGGAAAUAGUUUUAGAGGAAGGAUGACUUCCUCUUGAUUGUGGAGGAGCUGGUCAAAGGUCAUUUAGGCAAAGUGGGUGCCAGCACAAAUGCCUGAGCUGGAAAGGGAUAUGCCUGUGUGUGCUGAGAGAGCUGGCAGAAGUGACUGCCACAUAGCUCUCUGUCACGUUUCCUCUGUUCUUUCCUAUAGGAAAGGUGCCCAAAGACUGGAGGAUAGCUGAUGUCACCUCAGCCUUCGGAAAGGGUGAGGAGGAUGGCCUGUGUGUAUGGGAACUGUUGAAUCACAGCCUGAACCUUUGAUUCCUCCACCUGAGGAGAGUGCCGAGUCAGCUGCAGGGGCACAGGUGAAUGCAAUUUCACCUGAGUGAGGGGAAGAGGUGGAGCCUGGCUCCAUCCCUCCUAGAUGCCAUUUAAGGGCUGACUCCCAAGGAGGAAGGAUCUCUGGCUGGAGAUCCUCUUGGAGCCCUUCUGUAAGCCCAGGACAUGGGUAAGAUCUUUAUUUCAUUUCUCCUUUGUAAUGUGUUAUUCUCUGUGGUCCAAUACCUGUAUACCUGUUUGUCAUACAGCUGUGCAACUGUAGGUUGGUUAGCCUCACCUCCCUUCCUGGAAUGGCAAUGUAACAACUGCUUCUGGAUGUCAUCUCCAAGCAACUGGAAGAGAAGAAAUGUCUAAGGAGCGGUCAAGGGUGAAGGCUGCAGGGAGGAUUGGCUGGAAUACGUGAGCUGCUUUUUUCCAGUGCUGGGAUGAAGGAGGUUCAGGGCUGGAGUGAGGUCUGAAGGUGUGUGGCAGGUUCUCUCUUGGAGGAAUGGAACUGAUGAAGUGCUGGAGUUUGGGGUCCUGGUGCAGCUGUUGUCUGAAGGUCCUGAUCCUGGGCUGGGAGGUGCAGCGCUGGAUCUGCUGAAGGAGCAGAGGCAAGAGCUGAAUUUCUGCAUGGCAGCAUCUCUUGAAUGCAGUAGAGCUUCCCCAGCUUGAAGAUGGGUGUGCUAUCCAUAUGCCAGAGGAGUGGCAUCAACUGUCUUGUAAUAAACUUCUCAUUUCCUUUUUUAAGAUGAGCCCACUGCGACCUCUCUGGUUUCUUACUAGUUAACUCAGGAGCGUGCUUCUCAGAGAAACUCUUUGUGUUGAAUCUCAGUGAGUGAGUUACUGUGAACCUUCCUCCCAAACUGAGACUGAACUCGAGCAGAAGUGACAAUAUGUUGUACUCUGCAUGUAGCUCUUUAACAGAAGACAUGGAACUCUGGGGUUGUGCCUUUGUGUUAAAUGUUUGCAUGCAGUGUAUUGCAUCUUCAUGUGAGAGUCUGCAGUUAAUAAACUUUGCUUUUAAUUAGUUAAUGAUCCAGUUCUCCUGUGAUUGUAGCACAACAGCCAGAUAAUGCAGGAUAGAAAAUGGAGCUAGUUAACUUAAAUAUGAUACUAUUCUACUCACUUGACUUAUCUGUGUGUUAGUAGGUUUACUCAGUGCAACCAAGCGUCUGCAGGCCAUUAACCUGUUGCUCCUGGUGAUAACAGGACAUAGACAUUCCUCUGGAAAAAAUAACAAAAAUGUAUAUUAGUGACAUGACAUGAGAGGAUAUACAAACUCAG